CCAUGAAAUAGAGUUUAAUAUACCUUAAUAAAAAUGCAGAAUGUGUUUAGAAAUUUUAAAACAACACUAAAGAUCAUAUGCUUCAGUCUAUAGAGCAUUUACCGAAAAAUUCAAUAUUUUCGUAAGGGUUAACCCAUAGAUAUUGAAAAAAAUUCAAAAAAAUGAAAGGUCUAUUUUAAUGCAUAGUUGCAUCCCUCACUAACAUGUGAUGAAGGUCAAAGAUGUUUGGAACCUUUGUUGUCUCCGUUUUUCUAGAGAAUAGCGAUUUUAUAGUGGUUAGUCAACCAAUUUAGGGAGUAUUAUGAAGUUUUACUAAAUUAAUUGACAAAAAAUUUAAACGACACCCAUGUACCAUAAAAUAAG